GAGUUUCGAUGUUGUCAAUCCACAUUUUGAUAUUGUUAUGUAUUCUCUUUGUGUAAACGAAACGUCUCCCCUAAAUAAUUCAUCCUCUUUACUUCAUCACCCCGUAAAGAAGUUGAUAGCACAAUCUGUUAUUUAAUGAUAGCAAAGAAGUUGUAGGUUCAGCUGUAGGUUCAUCUCUAUCGUUUCUGUUUUCCAUUAACAUAUCCUUCUCUGAUUCAGAGUGGGCAUGGGACACCCAUGACAGGGUUGCUACACGAGAUGCUUGGAUCUACCAAAACAAAGAGAUUCAAAAGCUUGGAAGGUGCUUUCACAAUAUCUACGGACAGAGGAAAAUUUUGCUUUCUCAAACGAAAGCACUUGCAAACCAAUAAUGGUUUGAAGCAACUUAUUAUAAAUACUGACAUCUGAUGCAUUCUCUUCUGUUGUUUAGUACAGACUAUUACAUCAGAUGAUAAGAGUAAAAACAGCUCAUGUGAGAACUGAUACAGAGAGAAAUGUCUCACUAAUGCAUCUAUGGAGGCUCUCCUUCUCCACAUCUUAACCUUGGCGACUGGUAACAUUUAUCAGCUCCUGCUAAUAUAUUUGUAUUGGAGUAUGUUACUAUCAAUCUUCUUCCCAAGAAUGUCUCUUAAGAUUAUUUAGGUUUAUGAAUGCUUUUCCAUAUUUAGAGUGAAAGCUACAAGCACACAAUAUGAAUUUUUUUAAAGAUGACACGUAUUAGAUGACAUACAUUUAGAUGACUAUUAAACUCCAUUAUAGUUUUACAACACAUUGUAACAGUUUUAGUGUCA